rnacentral:rRNA from 1 species
GUCUAUGGCCAUAUCACCCUGAACACGCCUGAUCUCAGAAGCUAAGCAAGGUAGGGCCUGGUUAGUACUUGGGUGGGAGACCACGCGCGCGGGCUGUAAAAACA